GACGUAGGGUGCAAGCGUUGUCCGGAUUUACUGGGCGUAAAGAGCGCGUAGGCGGUCUGUUAAGUGUAGAGUGAAAUCUCUGGGCUCACCCCGGAAACUGCUCUGCAUACUGGCAGACUUGAGGGAAGCAGAGGUUUGUGGAAUUCCUGGUGUAGCGGUGAAAUGCGUUGAUAUCAGGAGGAACACCCAUGGCGAAGGCAGCAAACUGGGCUUCAUCUGACGCUGAUGCGCGAAAGCGUGGGUAGCAAACAGG
rnacentral:rRNA from 1 species